UACGGAGGGUGCAAGCGUUAAUCGGAAUUACUGGGCGUAAAGCGCACGUAGGUGGUUCGCUAAGCCAGCUGUGAAAUCCCCGGGCUCAACCUGGGCACUGCAGUUGGAACUGGCAAGCUAGAGUAGGGUAGAGGGGUGUGGAAUUCCAGGUGUAGCGGUGAAAUGCGUAGAUAUCUGGAGGAACAUCAGUGGCGAAGGCGACACCCUGGACUCAUACUGACACUGAGGUGCGAAAGCGUGGGGAGCAAACAGG
rnacentral:rRNA from 1 species